rnacentral:snRNA from 1 species
AUACUUACCUGGCGGGGGAGAUACCAUGAUCAUGGAGGUGAUUUUCCCAGGGUGAGUCUCAUCCAUUGCACUCUGGAUGUUCUGACCCCUACGACGUGCCCGAAUGUGAGAAACUUGACUGCAUAACUUGUAGUGGUUGGGGACGGUGUUCACAUUCUUCUCUG